rnacentral:rRNA from 1 species
GCUGGCGGCAGGCUAACACAUGCAAGUCGAGCGGAUGACAGGAGCUGCUCCUGAAUUCAGCGGCGGACGGGUGAGUAAUGCCUAGGAAUCUGCCUGGUAGUGGGGGACACGUUUCGAAAGGAACGCUAAUACCGCAUACGUCCUACGGGAGAAAGCAGGGGACCUUCGGGGCCUUGCGCUAUCAGAUGAGCCUAGGUCGGAUUAGCUAGUUGGUGAGGUAAUGGCUCACCAAGGCGACGAUCCGUAACUGGUCUGAGAGGAUGAUCAGUCACACUGGAACUGAGACACGGUCCAGACUCCUACGGGAGGCAGCAGUGGGGAAUAUUGGACAAUGGGCGAAAGCCUGAUCCAGCCAUGCCGCGUGUGUGAAGAAGGUCUUCGGAUUGUAAAGCACUUUAAGUUGGGAGGAAGGGCAUUAACCUAAUACGUUAGUGUUUUGACGUUACCGACAGAAUAAGCACCGGCUAACUCUGUGCCAGCAGCCGCGGUAAUACAGAGGGUGCAAGCGUUAAUCGGAAUUACUGGGCGUAAAGCGCGCGUAGGUGGUUUGUUAAGUUGGAUGUGAAAUCCCCGGGCUCAACCUGGGAACUGCAUUCAAAACUGACAAGCUAGAGUAUGGUAGAGGGUGGUGGAAUUUCCUGUGUAGCGGUGAAAUGCGUAGAUAUAGGAAGGAACACCAGUGGCGAAGGCGACCACCUGGACUGAUACUGACACUGAGGUGCGAAAG